rfam:TPA: Bos taurus chromosome 10, whole genome shotgun sequence.
UCCAUGGUUGUUCAGUGGUUAGGACUCUGCACUUUCACUGCAGGGGGCCCAGGUUCAACCCCAGCUCAGGGAA